rnacentral:misc_RNA from 1 species
AAGUCGUAACAAGGUUUUGCUAAGCAACAGUCUUUCUGUAGCAGAGCUUAACGGAGACCUUGCACCCGAGAGGGGGGAGGCGACUAUAAACAAGCUUCUAGCGCAAGUCAGCACCGCUGGCAACACAAUCGAAUUGCGGGGACGCUUUAAAGUCCACCGGUACCAACGGCUCUUUAGGGGUCGGGCGAGCCUAGCUCGAGGUCACAACCCGGUGGAAUAGUACAAUAAGCAAUCCGCAGCGGCCUAGCCGUUCACAGACUAAGUGGUUGUGGGUAGGACAUCCCUAUCUAAGAUAUAGUCGGGCCCGGAGAGAGAUCCCCGGGGCUUCUGCGUCCGUAGGUGAACCUGCGGAAGGAUCAUUAAAAAAGGAUGCCGGGAAACCGGUAGACCCCACCCGUGUCUAUCUACUCUUGUUGCUUUGGCAGGCUGUGGUCUCCGCCGUGGGCUUCGCCCGUGUGUGCCUGCUAGAGGAUCAAACUCUGAAUGUUAGUGAUGUCUGAGUACUAUAUAAUAGUUAAAA